UGCUGCUUCGCUGACAAGUGGCCGAUGGGUGAGUAAUGUCUGGGGAUCUGCCCGAUGGAGGGGGAUAACCACUGGAAACGGUGGCUAAUACCGCAUAACGUCGCAAGACCAAAGUGGGGGACCUUCGGGCCUCACACCAUCGGAUGAACCCAGAUGGGAUUAGCUAGUAGGUGGGGUAACGGCUCACCUAGGCGACGAUCCCUAGCUGGUCUGAGAGGAUGACCAGCCACACUGGAACUGAGACACGGUCCAGACUCCUACGGGAGGCAGCAGUGGGGAAUAUUGCACAAUGGGCGCAAGCCUGAUGCAGCCACGCCGCGUGAGUGAUGACGGCCUUCGGGUUGUAAAGCUCUGUUAAUCGGGACGAAAGGCCUUUUUGCGAAUAGUGAGAAGGAUUGACGGUACCGGAAUAGAAAGCCACGGCUAACUACGUGCCAGCAGCCGCGGUAAUACGUAGGUGGCAAGCGUUGUCCGGAAUUAUUGGGCGUAAAGCGCGCGCAGGCGGAUCAGUCAGUCUGUCUUAAAAGUUCGGGGCUUAACCCCGUGAUGGGAUGGAAACUGCUGAUCUAGAGUAUCGGAGAGGAAAGUGGAAUUCCUAGUGUAGCGGUGAAAUGCGUAGAUAUUAGGAAGAACACCAGUGGCGAAGGCGACUUUCUGGACGAAAACUGACGCUGAGGCGCGAAAGCCAGGGGAGCGAACG
rnacentral:rRNA from 1 species